GCUGUGAGAAAACAAAUGCUUGGACUCAAGGAGCAGAAAUGUAUUAUUUGGUCUCAUUUAAUUAGAGGAACUAAAGUAGUUAACAGAAGUGAGUCCUGUGGAUGAAGAGGCAGGUUAAAAUAGGUUUCAAUUUGUUUUGGAUAAGUGGCUAUACUGAGAUGGUUGCAUGUUUUACAGUGUAUUGAAGCAAACCCUGUGAAGAUUAGAGCUCCUGAAACCUAUUUCUAGAAAUAAGCUGUGACUGCUGUUUACCAGGCAGUGGGAUCCCUAAUGAUUCUGUGGUUUAACCCUGGCCAACAACUAAUGACAGCCACUUCCACUUCUCCCCUAUCCCCACCACUGCCAUGAGGGGAAGAGAAUUGGAAGGGUAAAAGUAAGAAGACUCUUGGGUUGAGGUAAAGACAGCUUAAUAGGGAAAGCAAAAGCUGUGCACACAGAGCACAAGGAAUUUGUUUCCUAUUUCCCAUGAGCAGGCAGGUGUUCAGCUGGCUCCGGGAAAGCGUGGCUCCAUUGUGUGUGGUGAUUACCUGGGGAAAAAGGUGUCAUCACUCCAAAUGCCCUCCUGCUCCUUCUUUCCUCAGCUUCAUAGGCUGACCAUGAUUUCAGAUGCUAUGAAAUACCCCUUUGGUCAGUUGAGGUCAGCUGUCCCAAAUGUGUCACCUCCCAGCCUCUUGUGCACCCCCCGCCUCCUUACUGGUGGGGAGGUGUGAGCAGUAGAAAAGGCUUUGACUCGGUGUAAGCACUGCUCAGCAAUAACUGGAGCAUGCCUGUAUUGCCACAGUGGUUUUAGUACAUACCCAAACACAGCCCCAUACUAGUACUGUGAAGAAAAUUCACUCUAUCCCAGCUAAAACCAGCUCAAAUGGCUAAUUCCAGUAUUUUCUCAAGUUGACCACUUGCCUGCCCUCUUUAGAGUGGUGAACUCAAUUGAUGAUGAUAUUUUUCCAUUAUUCUUUUAUCAUUUUGUUCUACAGGUAUAGCUUACUCUGAUUUCCUACUGCAAAUCCUGUUUCCACUUACUGAUCAUCUUCAAGCAAAUAUGUAAUACAUGCCAUAAUCAAUCUAUCUCAGUAUCCUAAUCAACUUCCAUUUAAAUGCGACACAGGUUUUAUGUCUGUCUGGAUUUGCUAAUCUAACUGAUAUAAUUUUGAUUUAUUAGAAAAGUUCUAAAUACUGUUACACUGUCAAUGAAAAAUAAGACUCCUGAAGUAGUCUGAAGAACAUGCAAGUUGAUAUUUAGCACUUAAAUUUUUUAAAUAACCCAUUUAACUAUAAAUAAUGUCAUUAAUACUUGAAGAGCAGACUACUUACUUACAAUGCUUAGCAGUGUAUUAAAAUUAUCUCAGAAUAUUUGAAUAGUGAUUUAAAUGAAAUGUUGAAAUGUAUUAAUCUUUUUACUCCUCAUUUAGGAAGAAUACAAUAAUGAAAAAAUGAAUGGUCUGAAAUUUGUGUGCACUGCUCAGAGAGAAGCUUGGAUAAUUCCUACUCCCGAAGGACUAUUUCUGUCAGGCCUUGUUAUGCUUGACUUGUACCUUUGUUGGGAACUGCUCUGUCAAAUUGGUGUUUAUUUGAUAUAUAUUUAAUUUCUCUUCAGUAAAUUUGUCCAAACACAUGCAUGAUGUGCACACAUGCCUGGUUGUAUGUUAAGAAGAUGAGCAGAAAGGGACACUGGGAGAUGUCAAUCCAUGUUUUGGGUAGUUGUGGCUGUCUGUAUGCUGAUAGGCAUCUUCAGCUUGACUGCACCUUCUACGAACAUUCGCUGGCUCCUGCCUCAAGGUGGAGCUCUUAUAUUUGCAAUGGAGAUAAAGACUUGAAGAGCAUUUUCUUCUCCCAAAUGCUGUUUCUGAUUUGAAUAGAUGUAUGAGUUAUAUCGGUAAAGAAAAACAGCGAGCAAUUUUCCUCCCCCUCAGCAAAAGCUGGAGUCAUCAAUGUGUCACACAGGUGGAUGGGCCUACAACACUGAUUUUUAUUCAACCUGACACCACCUUUUGUAGGCUCUGGAAGAUGCAUACCUUUCACUUACAGUAGGAUUAUGACAAUGUGUGCAUUCCAGCUGUCAAAGGCAGUGCUGUUCUUCUUGUGGCUCUUUGUAAUUGGGAAUGUUUUCCCAGAAGACAGUAUGUGUGUGUGUAUUGUGUUCCAAUUAAGACUAUAUGAGACGGUUAUGGCAGGCUGUCAAAUCAAUGGGACGCUGGGAAUAUUUUAGUCUCCAUGCUAUAGUCUAAAUAACCUUUUAAGGACUCUGUUCCCUCAAUGUGGUAAAUAAAUGCUGAAUGUUUUAUACUUAAUAGGCCUUGGAGUAAUGUGUUCCACAUGGCUUUAUUGCUGGAAUGAGACGUUCUUAUCACUAAAUACACAAUAGUGACAUGAGGUCAUUUCAGCAUGAAGAAAUGCAUAAAUCUUAUAGAUGAAUGAAGUCAGUUUAUUGUGAAGUUUAGUUAAACAGGAAUACUCUAAAGUAACCUUGGUGGCAAAUUUAAGGAAAGUGAGAGAAAUCCAUAAAUACUUAAUCUAGUCAUCUUUGAUCUCUCAGUUUAAUACUAUAAAUGUCUGUCUCAGCUGGAUUUGUGAAAGUGAUGCUCAUUUCCUGCCUAUUUAUAUUUCUUUCAGUGAGAGUAUCUUUAUUCUGGUCACUUAAAACAUUGACUAUAUAGUGCAUUUCUAAAACUUCUUUCUUCAGAGUGUAUGAAAAAAAUUGUGCCAAGCCUCUCUCUUAACAAGUGCAACAAAUGACCUGCUAUUAGGUCAUUUUGUGUGAAGUUUACCAGAAGUGAGAAGAAAUUAAAUUAGGCCCUGAAUAGCUUGUGCAACCUGAAUUGGGAGCAGGUCUGGAGGACUCUGCUGGGCUGGGUACCAAGUGCCCAUUGGUGAGGGGGUUCCCACUUUGAAGCCAGUGUUCUAUACAGAACUGGGUGACAUCCUUUUUGUUAAGAUGCUUACUCACCAAAAAAUGUGGCUUCUAAUUUCUGGCAGUAUUGGUAAAAUGGGAAUCAAUUAGCUUUGACUGGCACAAAAAUGGAAAAAAAAACGUUCUUGAAUGGUGAAACAUUUUAAUGUUCUGAAAGCCAACAUUUUGAUAAUUUGGGCCUAGACUGGGAACAUGGACACUUCAAGAUCAUGCACAAAAAUGAACGCAAAUUCCUUAUUUAUAUUCAAAUCUUGAUUUCUAUGGAUGUUUUAUUUGCAUAUUAAUGAUGAAUGGUUUUGUCCAUUUUGUUCAAUUGCCUCCAAGUUUUCUAUUUUUUUACCUGUUACUUAGAACUUAUUUUGUGCUUCUAAUAUGUGUAUUGAUUCAUGAAGGGAGAGAAUUCACUUUAAGUAAGUAUCCUUCAUCACUGUGACAGAUUGGUAAAAAAUAACAGCAACACUGAUUCAUAUCUUAGUGAUGUAAAUGAUAAUUCUGCUAUAAUUCUAAACCUAGUUCUUCUAUUAAAAUUACUGGGAUGCAAGUAGUUCCAGCUGGUUGAAAUAAUUCAGUUUUCCCCUAAAGAAUACUGAGCCUGAAAUAUGAAUAAGUAGGACUGAAAAUUGUGAUAGUUUGAGCUUUUUGCCUUUUUUUUUUUUUUUUUGAUUGAUUGUUUGGGGAGCUCUUCCUUGGGAGGAGUGGAGGAGUUAAUCCUUGUGUUGUGGAAUUAGUCUGUUUGCCUUAGUUGCCUUAGUCUGUGUUGGUUGUCUUGCACAGUGUUUUUCAGAAUAUUUAGGGACAUGUUUAAUACCCUUGAUGAGAACAGAUGUUGAAAUUCUCUGCUAACAGGAGUCCAAGGUAUUUGGCUGUGCAGUCAGUUCUUCCAAUUUACUUCUGUGUUUUCUAUGUGUUUUAGGUGCCCUGGGCCCAGUUUUUGAGUAAUUUUGGUUCCUGCCUCAUAUCCUAUUUAUGGUUCUUGGAUGGUUCAUGUCUGUGCUGAGAAAGACAAAGAUAAUUCCUUAUAGCAAUAUUUAAAGUUAUUUGAAACUAAUUGCAGGCUAUCUGAAACCCAGAGCACAGUUUUGUCAGUUUAUCCUGAGUUGGUGAGAAUUAACUUGGACUUGCUUUCAGACUAAGAAGCAACUGAACACAGCCUUGGCAGUUGUUAGGACUUUAUUGCAGGAUAAUGAUGAUGAUUAUUUAUUGUUGUUGUUCUAGUAUGCAUGCAUGAGUGCUUCCUCUUUGUUUUAUAGGUAAGUUUCUUAAUUUUAGAGCUUGUAUCCACCAAAAUUAAAAUUAAUGUGGACUAAACCUUCUAUCCCUGUCCCAUCUUUCUUCUCAGCUUAUUCUGAGAGCUUUACUUUCUGUAUUUCUGCUCAGCUUUUCAGAAGUGCUGUAGAGAGCAGCAUUUAAAAAUCAAACUGUCAGUUUCAGACCCUGCUCUUGCUUAUCUAUGCUGGUUCCAGCUGGCAGCUUCAGCUCAGCUCAGCUUGGAGUGGUUGGUGUUGUCAGAAGCAACCCUUGCUAUCCCUCUCAGCAAAAGUGAUCUGGAAAACAUGGCAGAAGGAAGACGAUGAACUGAAUAAGCUUCUAGUCAGCUAAUAAGGGUAAUGGCAGAGCAUGGAUAGAAGAUUUGUCCCUUCAGGAGAUGCUGAGAGAAGUUGUGGAGAGCUGAGCAAACAGGAGGAAGACUAGGGAAGCAGUCCGGGGGAGCUUGCUGGAAAGAAAAGUUGAUAAGUGCUGCUUCUGCUGUGUGAGGAGCCCAAAGAAGACUGCUCAUGAGAUUCCACAAAAAUGAGAAGAUCACUGAAUUGCACCUACCAAAAUUCAGGAAGGUCAUUAGGCAAAUAGAAAAAAGUGGAAAAAAUAUCGCAAUUCUUAUGUAAUGAAAAGAUGGCUAUUACCAGAUGCACUCCCAAUAUAAAUCAGAGUCUUCUUCAGGCCCGCUGAAAAAUAGAUUUCUGCUUCAUCCCUUGGUUUUGGGUCUCCAGUAUGGACAGAAGUUUCGCAAAUUCUGGCUGUAGCUGCUCCAAGAUGUGACAUUUUCCAGAAUAUUCCUGUAAUUACCAACAUCCAGUUUAUCACACCACAUGAAAGAUGUUAGGUAAUCUCACCAGUGGACACUACUGAAAUACACCUAGAACUGCCAAAUAUGGGCUGUGGGAAAGUCAAGACAUGUCUAGCAGAAGUAGCUGGAAAAGAGAAAUUGGUGCUGCUAUUAAAACUGAGGUUGUAUUUUUAGGUUCUUUCAUACAUUUGACUCUUUAUUCAGAGAGAGAACCAUUGGACAGUUUUAAUACUUGAAGAGAAUAAAAAAAAUCCAAGUGACCUUGCCUAAAACCACCUGUUUGUCACACUGAUGACUGAAACUUAGGACUUCUGAUUGUCAGGGGUUAAAGCAGAAUCUCAGCUUUUCACUGUCUCAACCUUCCAUGUCAUCUGUAAGAGUUAUGAUAAAUCUUUGCCUGCUAAACCUUACAUCUCUGGAUUUUCAUUUAAGGUUUUCAACUCAGCAAGAGGAUCAGAAUUUGAAAUACAUCAGGAGAAAGUGUUACCUGGUGAGAAUAUCUGAGCUGCUAGCACACAAUGUUAGUUCUAAUUUUACUUUCCUUUCAAAAUAGAAGCAGAGCAUUGUGUCUAUAGGACUCCUCCUGAGAUAUGGGCAGGGAUGGCUAAAAGAGCACUGGUUAAAAAAGAAGUCCAAUGUCUUACCUCCUUCCCCAUGCUCUGGGUGUCGGCCCAGGAGCCCCAGUGCUUGUCAGAAGCAUCAGCAUAAUCAGCUGUCACAGUUCAACAAAAUACUCGUCCCAACUUCACUGUGCUACAGCACCUGCUCAGGAACACUGGGAUUCCAAGAGCCAACACCUAAUCCUGCAGAAACCCAGAUUUCAGAUCUUACUGUAAUAUCUGAAAUGAUUGAUGGUAGACUGAUAAUCACAGAUAAGGUGCUUUGUUAGUCUAUAUCAAGUAAUCAGAGUAUUUAGAAACACAGGAACUGUGACAUCCAUGAUUUAGGCUGGAAGAAAAGUCAGAGGAAGUAUUGUGUGUUCUUGCUCUGUUCUUCUGCUCUUCCUGGACCUCCACAUUUGAUCAGCGUCAGGAGCAAAAUAUGAACUAGGCAGAUCUUUGUUGUGACUCGU